UUCCCCUCAAAUGGUUGCUAUUGUUUCCAUAGCGCCAAAAUGUUUAUUAUCACGGUUUGAAAAUUCAAAAGGAAUUGAAGAUUUCUGCAGAUAAUAACAACAGUUUCAGGAUACAGGAUGCCAUUAUUCCACAAUGAUAAAAAAAAUACUCAACUCCGUAGCGUAGCUCAAGACCGCUGUGCCUCACUUCUUGUCUCGAUAAGGACAGCUUCAGCUGUGAACGGUAUUGUGCACAGUAGAAAACUAACAUUUGUUACUUUCAGAUCAUUUUCUCAGUAGAAAGAUAAAAAUGGGUUCAGACGAAACUUUGAUGUCAUGUAGGACUGUGAUGUUCCUGCGAUAUUCCACUGAUGUUUCCAACACACAUAAUGUAAGAAUAAAUAAUAUAUAUUCGGAGAUAAUUAAAUCAGAAAAUUCCGAAAUUUUA